UCUCCCGGCGGGGAAUCGAACCCCGGUCUCCGCGUGACAGGCGGGGAUACUCACCAAUAUACUACUGAGGA
rnacentral:tRNA from 13 species